AGUAGAGCGGCGCACGGGUGAGUAACGCGUAAAUAAUCUACCCUGAUGAUUGGGAUAACCAGCCGAAAGGUUGACUAAUACCGGGUAUAUGCUUUACCGCUGGGUGAAGCAGGAAAGGUGGCCUCUAUUUAUAAGCUACCGCAUUGGGAUGAGUUUGCGUACCAUUAGCUAGUUGGUGGGGUAAAGGCCUACCAAGGCGACGAUGGUUAGCGGGUCUGAGAGGAUGAUCCGUCACACUGGCACUGGAACACGGGCCAGACUCCUACGGGAGGCAGCAGUGAGGAAUAUUGCGCAAUGGGGGCAACCCUGACGCAGCGACGCCGCGUGAGUGAGGAAGGCCUUCGGGUCGUAAAGCUCUGUCAGAUGGGAAGAAGUGCUAUGCAGGUAAUAUCUGUAUAGUUUGACGGUACCAUCAAAGGAAGCACCGGCUAACUCCGUGCCAGCAGCCGCGGUAAUACGGAGGGUGCAAGCGUUGUUCGGAAUCACUGGGCGUAAAGGGCGCGCAGGCGG
rnacentral:rRNA from 1 species